rnacentral:lncRNA from 1 species
GUGGAAACACCUAUUAUAUUAUAUUUCAUUAGUAAGCGUGAUGCUAGUAAACUUACAAACACCAAAACCCCAAUAACAAAACAUCAACUCCACCAUACAUCUUCUCCUUAAAGAAAAUAAUCAUUCACAUUAAGUGCUUUGUUUACUUUACUCGACUUGGAACAAGUCUUAUUUAUACAAACAAACGAAGUCGUACAAACAAGCAAACAGAAGCACGAAUGAAGUCGAGUCAAUUAGCCGAUGUAGUACAUAGGAUCGGGCACCUUGAAGGUGCGAUCUCCGGUGUUGUACCGAUCAAAUCGCUCCAUUGAUCACCCAUGUUCCCUCUAAUCCUGUAUCCAGCCUCUUCCAACUCUUUUCUU